GUUUGAAUUGUAAUGAAAGACCCCCAGAGUGGGGAGACCCUCACUCAAGUCUCGGGAUGACGUAACCCCCCAAGAACUCACACAAGACC
rnacentral:pre_miRNA from 14 species